GAAAUGCGAUAAGUAAUGUGAAUUGCAGAAUUCAGUGAAUCAUCGAAUCUUUGAACGCACCUUGCACCCUUUGGUAUUCCGAAGGGUAUGCCCGUUUGAGUGUCAUUGUAAUCUCACACCCAAGACUUCUUGUCGAGGGAGGUGGACUUGGACGUUUGCUGUGUUACUGCGGCUCGUCUCAAAAGUGUUAGCGCGGCUCUAGAUGAAGCGUUGGAUGCCCAGUGUAAUAAGUAUUUCGCUGCGGCUAGCAUUAGUCUUGAGUUGUUGUGCUUACAAUCGUCUUUGGACUGAUCAGCGAUGAUCAUUUGACAACUUGGCCUCAAAUCGGGUAGGACUACCCGCUGAACUUAA
rnacentral:misc_RNA from 1 species